AACGAAUGCUGGCGGCAUGCCUAACACAUGCAAGUCGAACGAGACCUUCGGGUCUAGUGGCGCACGGGUGCGUAACGCGUGGGAACCUGCCUUUAGGUUCGGAAUAACUCAGAGAAAUUUGAGCUAAUACCGGAUGAUGUCUUCGGACCAAAGAUUUAUCGCCUUUAGAUGGGCCCGCGUUGGAUUAGCUAGUUGGUGGGGUAAAGGCCUACCAAGGCGACGAUCCAUAGCUGGUCUGAGAGGAUGAUCAGCCACACUGGGACUGAGACACGGCCCAGACUCCUACGGGAGGCAGCAGUGGGGAAUAUUGGACAAUGGGCGAAAGCCUGAUCCAGCAAUGCCGCGUGAGUGAUGAAGGCCUUAGGGUUGUAAAGCUCUUUUACCCGAGAUGAUAAUGACAGUAUCGGGAGAAUAAGCUCCGGCUAACUCCGUG
rnacentral:rRNA from 1 species